GACGAACGCUGGCGGCGUGCCUAAUACAUGCAAGUAGAACGCUGAAGGAGGAGCUUGCUUCUCCGGAUGAGUUGCGAACGGGUGAGUAACGCGUAGGUAACCUGCCUGGUAGCGGGGGAUAACUAUUGGAAACGAUAGCUAAUACCGCAUAAGAGUAGAUGUCGCAUGACAUUUGCUUAAAAGGUGCAACUGCACCACUACCAGAUGGACCUGCGUUGUAUUAGCUAGUUGGUGAGGUAACGGCUCACCAAGGCAACGAUACAUAGCCGACCUGAGAGGGUGAUCGGCCACACUGGGACUGAGACACGGCCCAGACUCCUACGGGAGGCAGCAGUAGGGAAUCUUCGGCAAUGGACGGAAGUCUGGCCGAGCAACGCCGCGUGAGUGAAGAAGGUUUUCGGAUCGUAAAGCUCUGUUGUAAGAGAAGAACGAGUGUGAGAGUGGAAAGUUCACACUGUGACGGUAUCUUACCAGAAAGGGACGGCUAACUACGUG
rnacentral:rRNA from 1 species